rnacentral:rRNA from 1 species
CCUACGGGAGGCAGCAGUGGGGAAUCUUGCGCAAUGGGCGAAAGCCUGACGCAGCCAUGCCGCGUGUAUGAUGAAGGUCUUAGGAUUGUAAAAUACUUUCACCGGUGAAGAUAAUGACUGUAGCCGGAGAAGAAGCCCCGGCUAACUUCGUGCCAGCAGCCGCGGUAAUACGAAGGGGGCUAGCGUUGCUCGGAAUUACUGGGCGUAAAGGGAGCGUAGGCGGACAUUUAAGUCAGGGGUGAAAUCCCAGAGCUCAACUCUGGAACUGCCUUUGAUACUGGGUGUCUUGAGUGUGAUAGAGGUAUGUGGAACUCCGAGUGUAGAGGUGAAAUUCGUAGAUAUUCGGAAGAACACCAGUGGCGAAGGCGACAUACUGGAUCAUUACUGACGCUGAGGCUCGAAAGCGUGGGGAGCAAACAGGAUUAGAUACCCUGGUAGUCCACGCCGUAAACGAUGAUUGCUAGUUGUCGGGAUGUUUACAUCUCGGUGACGCAGCUAACGCAUUAAGCAAUCCGCCUGGGGAGUACGGUCGCAGAGUUAAAACUACAAAGGAAUUGACGG